rnacentral:rRNA from 1 species
GCCGAUACANGCNAGUCGAAACGGUAACAUUUCUAGCUUGCUAGAAGAUGACGAGUGGCGCACGGGGUGAGUAACGCGCUAUACAAUCUACCUUUUACAGGGGGAUAGCCUUUAGAAAUGAAGAUUAAUAUCCCAUAGUAAUUUAUUAUUGCNUGAUAGUAAAUUUAAAGUUUCGGCGGUAAAAGAUGAGUAUGCGUUCUAUUAGUUAGUUGGUAAGGUAACGGCUUACCAAGACCGCGAUAGAUAGGGGCCCUGAGAGGGGGAUCCCCCACACUGGUACUGAGACACGGACCANACUCCUACGGGAGGCAGCAGUGAGGAAUAUUGGACAAUGGGCGAGAGCCUGAUCCANCCAUGCCGCGUGCAGGAANACUGCCCUAUGGGUUGUAAACUGCUUUUAUACAGGAAGAAACCUUUUCACGNGUGAAAAGCUGACGGUACUGUAAGA